GACGAACGCUGGCGGCGUGCUUAACACAUGCAAGUCGAACGGUGAAGCGCCUUCCUUUUUGGUGGGUGUGGAUGAGUGGCGAACGGGUGAGUAACACGUGAGUAACCUGCCCCCUUCUUCUGGAUAACCGCAUGAAAGUGUGGCUAAUACGGGAUAUUCUGGGUCUGUCGCAUGAUGGGUCUGGGAAAGAUAUUGUUUCGGUGGGGGAUGGGCUCGCGGCCUAUCAGCUUGUUGGUGGGGUGAUGGCCUACCAAGGCGGUGACGGGUAGCCGGCCUGAGAGGGUGGACGGUCACACUGGGACUGAGACACGGCCCAGACUCCUACGGGAGGCAGCAGUGGGGAAUAUUGCACAAUGGGCGCAAGCCUGAUGCAGCGACGCCGCGUGAGGGAUGGAGGCCUUCGGGUGGUGAACCUCUUUCGCCAGUGAAGCAGGCCUGCCUCGUUUGUGGGUGGGUUGACGGUAGCUGGAGAAGAAGCGCCGGCUAACUACGUG
rnacentral:rRNA from 1 species